UACGUAGGGGGCUAGCGUUGCUCGGAAUCACUGGGCGUAAAGCGCACGUAGGCGGAUCUUUAAGUCAGGGGUGAAAUCCUGGAGCUCAACUCCAGAACUGCCUUUGAUACUGGGGAUCUCGAGUCCGGGAGAGGUGAGUGGAACUCCGAGUGUAGAGGUGAAAUUCGUAGAUAUUCGGAAGAACACCAGUGGCGAAGGCGGCUCACUGGCCCGGUACUGACGCUGAGGUGCGAAAGCGUGGGGAGCAAACAGG
rnacentral:rRNA from 1 species